rnacentral:rRNA from 1 species
CCUACGGGAGGCAGCAGUGAGGAAUAUUGGUCAAUGGGCUUACGCCUGAACCAGCCAAGUCGCGUGAGGGAAGACUGCCCUAUGGGUUGUAAACCUCUUUUGUCAGGGAGCAAUUGGCGCUACGUGUAGCGUUAUCUAGAGUACCUGCAGAAAAAGCAUCGGCUAACUCCGUGCCAGCAGCCGCGGUAAUACGGAGGAUGCGAGCGGUAUCCGGAUUUAUUGGGUUUAAAGGGUGCGUAGGCGGAAUGCCAAGUCAGCGGUAAAAUCGCGGGGCUCAACCUCGCUCCGCCGUUGAAACUGGUGUUCUUGAGUGGGCGAGAAGUAUGCGGAAUGCGUGGUGUAGCGGUGAAAUGCAUAGAUAUCACGCGGAACUCCGAUUGCGAAGGCAGCAUACCGGCGCCCAACUGACGCUGAAGCACGAAAGCGUGGGUAUCGAACAGGAUUAGAUACCCUAGUAGUC